UACGAAGGGGGCUAGCGUUGUUCGGAAUCACUGGGCGUAAAGAGCGCGCAGGCGGUCGUUCAAGUCGAGUGUGAAAGCCCCCGGCUCAACUGGGGAGGGUCAUUCGAUACUGAUCGACUCGAAGGCAGGAGAGGGAAGUGGAAUUCCCGGUGUAGUGGUGAAAUGCGUAGAUAUCGGGAGGAACACCAGUGGCGAAGGCGACUUCCUGGCCUGUUCUUGACGCUGAGGCGCGAAAGCUAGGGGAGCAAACGGG
rnacentral:rRNA from 1 species